rnacentral:rRNA from 1 species
GGUUAAGCUACUAAGAGCACACGGUGGAUGCCUAGGCGCUAGGAGCCGAUGAAGGACGUGGCGAACAACGAUAAGGCCUCGGGGAGCUGUAAGCAAGCUGUGAUCCGGGGAUGUCCGAAUGGGGAAACCUAACUGGAUUCAUCUCCAGUUACUCACACCUGAAUACAUAGGGUGUGCAGAGGCAGACGAGGGGAACUGAAACAUCUAAGUACCCUCAGGAAAAGAAAACAAGAGUGAUUCCGUCAGUAGCGGCGAGCGAACGCGGAACAGCCCAAACCAAGAAGCUUGCUUCUUGGGGUUGUGGGACGUCUCUUUGGAGUUACAAAGGAAUGAGGUAGGCGAAGAGGUCUGGAAAGGCCCGCAAGACAAGGUGAAAGCCCUGUAGCUUAAAUCUCAUUCUCUCCGAGACGGAUCCCGAGUAGUGCGGGGCACGUGAAACCCCGUAUGAAUCUGCCAGGACCAUCUGGUAAGGCUAAAUACUCCCUAGCGACCGAUAGUGAAGCAGUACCGUGAGGGAAAGGUGAAAAGGACCCCGGAAGGGGAGUGAAAUAGAACCUGAAACCGUGUGCUUACAAAAAGUCAGAGCCCUAUUAAUGGGUGAUGGCGUGCCUUUUGUAGAAUGAACCGGCGAGUUACGUUCCCGUGCAAGGUUAAGGUGAAAAGCCGGAGCCGCAGCGAAAGCGAGUCUGAAUAGGGCGAUUAAGUACGUGGACGUAGACCCGAAACCAGGUGAUCUACCCCUGUCCAGGGUGAAGGUACGGUAACACGUACUGGAGGCCCGAACCCACGCACGUUGAAAAGUGCGGGGAUGAGGUGGGGGUAGCGGAGAAAUUCCAAUCGAACCUGGAGAUAGCUGGUUCUCCCCGAAAUAGCUUUAGGGCUAGCCUCGGAAGUUGAGUCGUGGAGGUAGAGCACUGAUUGGAUGCGGGGCCCGCAAGGGUUACCAAGUUCAGUCAAACUCCGAAUGCCACAGACUUUAUUCCGGGAGUCAGACAGUGAGUGCUAAGAUCCAUUGUCGAAAGGGAAACAGCCCAGACCAUCAGCUAAGGUCCCCAAGUGUGUGUUAAGUGGGAAAGGAUGUGAAGUUGCACAGACAACCAGGAUGUUGGCUUAGAAGCAGCCACCAUUGAAAGAGUGCGUAAUAGCUCACUGGUCGAGUGACUUUGCGCCGAAAAUGUAACGGGGCUAAACACACCACCGAAGCUAUGGCUUGAUACAUUAGUAUCAGGGGUAGGGGAGCGUUGAAUGAAGAUUGAAGGUGUACCGCAAGGAGCGCUGGACCUCAUUCAAGUGAGAAUGCCGGUAUGAGUAACGAAAAGAUCAGUGAGAAUCUGAUCCGCCGAAAACCCAAGGAUUCCUGAGGAAGGCUCGUCCUCUCAGGGUAAGUCGGGACCUAAGGCGAGGCCGAAAGGCGUAGUCGACGGACAACAGGUUGAAAUUCCUGUACCACCGAAAGCCGUUAUGAGCAAUGGGAUGACGCAGGAGGAUAGUGACGCGGACUGAUGGAUGUCCGUUCAAGCAGUGAGGCUGGUAUGUAGGCAAAUCCGCAUACCGCAAGGCCAGGCUGUGAUGAGGAGCGAAAAUUGUAGUAGCGAAGGUCAUGAUUUCACACUGCCAAGAAAAGUCUCUAGCCAGGAAGCAGGUGCCCGUACCGUAAACCGACACAGGUGGGUGAGAAGAGAAUUCUAAGGCGCGCGGAAGAACUCUCGUUAAGGAACUCGGCAAAAUGACCCCGUAACUUCGGGAGAAGGGGUGCCCCGGUAGUGUGAAUAGCACGAGGGGGCCGCAGUGAAAAGGCCCAAGCGACUGUUUAGCAAAAACACAGGUCUGUGCGAAGCCGCAAGGCGAAGUAUACGGGCUGACGCCUGCCCGGUGCUGGAAGGUUAAGGGGAGUGGUUAGCGCAAGCGAAGCUAUGAACCGAAGCCCCAGUAAACGGCGGCCGUAACUAUAACGGUCCUAAGGUAGCGAAAUUCCUUGUCAGGUAAAUUCUGACCCGCACGAAUGGCGUAACGAUUUGGGCGCUGUCUCAACGAGAGAUCCGGUGAAAUUUUAAUACCUGUGAAGAUGCAGGUUACCCGCGACAAGACGGAAAGACCCCAUGGAGCUUUACUGCAACUUGAUAUUGAACUGGGGUGCGAUUUGUACAGGAUAGGUGGGAGCCGUAGAAACCGGAGCGCAAGCUUCGGUUGAGGCGCCGUUGGGAUACCACCCUGAUCGCAUUUGAGUUCUAACCUCGUACCGUGAUCCGGUACAGGGACCGUGUCAGGUGGGCAGUUUGACUGGGGCGGUCGCCUCCUAAAGUGUAACGGAGGCGCCCUAAGGUUCCCUCAGAAUGGUUGGAAAUCAUUCGAAGAGUGUAAAGGCAUAAGGGAGCUUGACUGCGAGACAGACACGUCGAGCAGGGACGAAAGUCGGGCUUAGUGAUCCGGUGGUACCGCAUGGAAGGGCCAUCGCUCAACGGAUAAAAGCUACCCUGGGGAUAACAGGCUUAUCUCCCCCAAGAGUCCACAUCGACGGGGAGGUUUGGCACCUCGAUGUCGGCUCAUCGCAUCCUGGGGCUGAAGUAGGUCCCAAGGGUUGGGCUGUUCGCCCAUUAAAGCGGUACGCGAGCUGGGUUCAGAACGUCGUGAGACAGUUCGGUCCCUAUCUGUCGUGGGCGUAGGAAAUUUGAGAGGAGCUGUCCUUAGUACGAGAGGACCGGGAUGGACGCACCGCUGGUGUACCAGUUGUUCCGCCAGGAGCAUCGCUGGGUAGCUACGUGCGGAAGGGAUAAGCGCUGAAAGCAUCUAAGCGUGAAGCCCCCCUCAAGAUGAGAUUUCCCAGUAUGUAAGACCCCUUGUAGACGACGAGGUUGAUAGGUUGGGGGUGGAAGUGCCGCAAGGCAUGGAGCUGACCAAUACUAAUCGGUCGAGGGCUUAUCCAA